rnacentral:rRNA from 1 species
AAGUUCGAACGGGGAUAUUCAACGCGUCCGGUCCGGCGGACGAGCCGGGGCGGCUCUCGACGGACGACCUCUCGAGGUCGCCCGCGGACGUCUCGGCCGUUCGUCGCCGGCGCGUGCACUUAUCCCCUUGUAGGACGUCGCGAUCCGUUGGGCGUCGGUCUACGGUCGACGGUGGAGCCCGCGCGCGCCUCGGCGCGCGCGAACCCGUCGAUUUUCCGGCCGACUCACUCGACGGUAUCCCUCGAGGCGCGGAGCCGCGACUCGUUCGCAUCCGACUGUCCGCAAGCGCGACCGGUCUCCCGGCCGUCGGAUCUGAUCCGGCACCGGGCCCGGACGGCUGCUGGCGGGCACGUUCUCGGAUAGACUCCGACUCACGCCUAUCGGCGACGCUAUAGCUUUGGGUAAUCUCAGGACCCGUCUUGAAACACGGACCAAGGAGUCUAGCAUGUGCGCGAGUCAUUGGGACUUGUAAACCUACUGGCGAAAUGAAAGUGAAGGCCGCCUUGCGCGCGCCUAGGGAAGAUGGGUCGCACCGCGGUGCGGCCCCGCACUCCUGGGGCGUCUCGUGCCCAUUGCGGGCUGAGGCGCACCGAGAGCGCAAAUGCUGGGACCCGAAAGAUGGUGAACUAUGCCUGGUCAGAACGAAGUCAGGGGAAACCCUGAUGGAGGUUCGUAGCGAUUCUGACGUGCAAAUCGAUCGUCGGAACUGGGUAUAGGGGCGAAAGACUAAUC